GAUGAACGCUGGCGGCGUGCCUAAUACAUGCAAGUCGAGCGAAUGGAUUGAGAGCUUGCUCUUAUGAAGUUAGCGGCGGACGGGUGAGUAACACGUGGGUAACCUGCCCAUAAGACUGGGAUAACUCCGGGAAACCGGGGCUAAUACCGGAUAACAUUUUGAACCGCAUGGUUCGAAAUUGAAAGGCGGCUUCGGCUGUCACUUAUGGAGGGACGCGCGUCGCACUAGCUAGUUGGUGAGGUAACGGCUCACCAAGGCAACGAUGCGUAGCCGACCUGAGAGGGUGAUCGGCCACACUGGGACUGAGACACGGCCCAGACUCCUACGGGAGGCAGCAGUAGGGAAUCUUCCGCAAUGGACGAAAGUCUGACGGAGCAACGCCGCGUGAGUGAUGAAGGCUUUCGGGUCGUAAAACUCUGUUGUUAGGGAAGAACAAGUGCUAGUUGAAUAAGCUGGCACCUUGACGGUACCUAACCAGAAAGCCACGGCUAACUACGUGCCAGCCGCCGCCGUAA
rnacentral:rRNA from 1 species